GGAUCCAGACUUUGAUUAUGGCUCAGGAUGAACGCUAGCUACAGGCUUAACACAUGCAAGUCGAGGGGAAACGAUAGAGAAAGCUUGCUUUUUCUAGGCGUCGACCGGCGCACGGGUGAGUAACGCGUAUCCAACCUGCCCACCACUUGGGAAUAACCUUGCGAAAGUAAGACUAAUACCCAAUGAUAUCUCUAGAAGACAUCUGAAGGAGAUUAAAGAUUUAUCGGUGAUGGAUGGGGAUGCGUCUGAUUAGCUUGUUGGCGGGGUAACGGCCCACCAAGGCGACGAUCAGUAGGGGUUCUGAGAGGAAGGUCCCCCACAUUGGAACUGAGACACGGUCCAAACUCCUACGGGAGGCAGCAGUGAGGAAUAUUGGUCAAUGGGCGAGAGCCUGAACCAGCCAAGUAGCGUGCAGGAUGACGGCCCUAUGGGUUGUAAACUGCUUUUAUAAGGGAAUAAAGUGAGCCUCGUGAGGCUUUUUGCAUGUACCUUAUGAAUAAGGACCGGCUAAUUCCGUGCCAGCAGCCGCGGUAAUACGGAAGGUCCGGGCGUUAUCCGGAUUUAUUGGGUUUAAAGGGAGCGUAG
rnacentral:rRNA from 1 species